rnacentral:lncRNA from 1 species
UUUAAUGCACUUUCAAAUUAUAAACUCAAACGUUUUAUCAAAAACACAAAAAUUCAAGCACCCACUACCUUCCCCGUUCACUUUCCCGCACUUUUGGUAACCUAGUACCACCUACCUUUAGGUUUUGCACUUCAAGAAGGUACAAGAAACUCAUACCAUGAGGACUCUAACUACAACAACAGGAACAACUAGUGCAAUUGUCUUUCCCUCUAGACUUUAUCAUCUGAAAAUUCAUGUGGUUGUUUCACCAAAACCAUUAAAAUUCCUUGUGUUCAUUCCUUAGGUUAAGAUACCUUUCCUGAAAAUCCCUAAAGUGAAUUUGCCAAUUCUUGGGUUGAAGUUGAUGUCCCAUUGGCUGCUCCCACUGCACACCGUUUGACCCUUCUUAGUUUGUGAAGAAUGAAGACUUUGCAAGGCUAGAAGUUAAAACUAGAGCAUUCAUGGAAUAUAGGCCAAGAAGGAAGAGCAUAUCCAAAACACUUUAGGCUUUAUCCUAGCUCGUUUGAUAAAUCCACACCCUUAGGAUUUUUUGUUCUUCUUAUAUAAUUAAUUUUGUAUAGCUAUCUUUUUUUUGUUAAUAAAAUUUAUGGCUCG